CUCCACCGAAGCUGAGAUGAGUUUUUCUUCCACAAUACUCGCCAUUAGAACAAGAGAAAUUAGCUUCACAGAAAUCACAACAAAAUGUAAUUGUGAAACAAAUAAACUAUGCUUCUCUUUGAUUUUAUUUAUGAACUACAAUACCCCUGGCAAGAUGGUUGGUCCUACUAUUAUUGUCUUGACACAUGCGAGGUGCAAGAUAAACACAGUUUCUGGAGCACGGAGUCUCUCAAGUGCAUGGAGUGGCUCAAGACUUCUCAUUAAUGUGGAACAUCCCCAAAUUGAUGAAUUCAAAGCAAGCUAUGGAGGAACUGAAAAUUCCAAUGCGCCUUCGCUGUCCUUGACUUGUGAAUCGUCCCUUCAAUCUGCUAACAAAAGUGGGACCAACCUCAACGAAGUCAAAAGUAUCCGUGCAAUCAAGGAAGGAAAGAAGGACUGUUUCGCAACCACCAUUGGCACUACAAAACAUUUCAAAGCUUCCAGGUUUGGCUGGUUUUUCGAGUCAUGCCCGGGCUGCAGAUCAUCUAACAAGUCACAAGGUGAAACUUUUGAAUGUGCAUGCAGAAUUACCAAUGUCGAACCCGUAACCAAAUUCAAAGUUGAAGUUGAACUUGAGUAUGAUAACUACAAGGGUACCUUUGUAUUUUGGGACAAGGACGUUAUCCCUUACACGAAAUUGAGUGCAAAGGAGUUACGAGCAGUUAUGAAGGAGGCUGGUGAAGAGAAUCCUAAGAUUUGGCCUGUUCACCUCGAUGUGUUGUUGAACAAACAAAUGGUUUUCCGAAUCAAAUAUCAAUCGAGUUUCGAGCAGUUCUCUAUCGUCGCAAUACUUAACGAGGACAACCUUUUCAACACUUUUGAUAACCACCUCUGCCCCAAUGAGCUUACUUCAAAUGCUGCUGUUGUGGGUAAUGAAUCCAACACUCCUACUGAUCAUCCAAUCCAACCAAUUGUUACACAUUCUGAUGACUUAGAGCUAACUGCACAGCCAGCCUUGGAUGUAAACCGUUCAGGGAGCCCAACUGCGAGCUCUAGCUCCACUCCUGCCAAGCGAGUUGCUGCAUCAACCUAUGUUAAUGAACCCAUUCUGGCUGAAGAACUGACCCCUAAGCAAUCUGCUACCAAGGCCAAGGCUGGGAAGAAAAUUAAGCAUAUCAAGAAGGAGUAAUUUGGGAGAGAGUCAUUCAGAAGCCAUAUCUUUUUUGAUGCCACUUUUAAUUUGACACCUUCUAUAUCUGCGGUUCAGAUUUUGGGAGUUGGAGUCUACCUUCAUUUAGGAUGCAAAAAGUACAACAUUAAAUCAGCCUUAAAUGCAAGCAUAACAUGAACACGGCCAACUUGGACUUGCCUUGGACUAAUAUUCCAUUACCAACUCUCAGUACAUGGUUGACAAUAUUGCCUCUCCUAAAAUGCUGCAUAUUUUUGCAAAAUGGAACGUCUUGAUAACAAUGAACUUGGGAAAAAAGCAAGAGCGCGAAGAUCUUUGGUUUUGAAGGAGAACCGUUCAAAGCGUCCUAAAUAUAGUCCUCACCAACCGAUAAAUAUGGAUACAAAUCAUGUGUCGCCUAUCUCAAUGACACCAAGACAACCAUUGGCCGAGCUGACUCCGUCAAUUCAAAACCAAUAUUCUCAAUCCCACCUAACUAACGAGGCAUUUUAUAAUACACGACUUCUUCAAGGUUCCGAACCAAGCCCAUCAAGACAUGGUUUUAAAACAAAUUUGCGGACGUCCCAUAUAGAGACUUUAGGAACAAAUUUAUUGUCUAAGUUUUCUUCCAGUGCGGCCGUGUUUGACUUUAGAAGUUCAUCUAAUACACCAACAUUAGAAACUUCUUAUAUUGGGUCAGGAAGUAACAGUCACACUAAUGUAAUCAAACAUCUUGACACAACCGCACUUCAAAGGUAGCCUGCAAAAAAACCGGUCUCUGCGGUAUCUCAAAUUGUAAGAGCAAAGGCGAACACGCCGGCACGGGGCAGACCUAGACAGCAGUUGGGGGUUCCAAAUAUAGCAAAUCACUUGAGCAGGAAUGUGCCUAUCCAAACAAAUCCAACUGGGAUAGAUGCUCCUAAAAUGUCGACUCAAACUGCCACUGUUCAUCCCGUCACCAAUGGAGUCAAUCUCGCAGUACCUCACAUAGUAGGACUGGAGGCGAAUGAAUAACCUACCUCAGCUGCAACACAGACCAUCCAGACAACCAAUUCGUUGUACUCCGUAACUCAAAAGUCGUAUGAUGAAUUACAAAUUCUAAAACUUUUAUAUGUUUAUUAUGUUGUCUAAAGUUGUUAUCACCAUUCAUAUAACCAUUUCAUUCAUGUUUCUAUAAGAGGAUUAAUACAAAUUACAACAUAACAGUAAUGACAUUUUCAUUAAACUAUUUUGCUGUGGUGCUGUUUUGAAUUUGCAGCUGUCCAAACAACAACAAACCAGGUAGGGGUCGGCCUAGGAAGCAACUGGGAGUUCCCAACCUGGCUAUCAACUUGAGCAAAAAGUUUGCGGUACAAACGAAUGCACAACAAACACAGUUUCAAAGGUACACACCGGAAUCAACAUCACAACAUAG